rnacentral:rRNA from 1 species
GGAAAACUUACCAGGAUAAGACAUAAGAAGGAUUGACAGACUGAUUGCUCUUUCUUGAUUUUAUGGGUGGUGGUGCAUGGCCGUUCUUAGUUCGUGGAGUAAUUUGUCUGGUUAAUUCCGUUAACGAACGAGACCUUAACUUGCUAAUUGAGAUGUGUAUUUAAUAUAUAUUCUCACUUAGAAGGACUAUGUCUUCAUAAGACAAGGAAGCGUGAGGCAAUAA